GAUUUUGCUAUUAAGUAAGGCAGUUGUUCUUUAUUAUUUGUAUCGGCUGCCAUGCCAAAUCACACAUAUGCUUGUUUUCAUGUUAAAUUAACAGUGGUUUGUGAACGUAGACGCUUUAAUAAAUCAUUUAUCUGGAGCGUUAAUGCUGGGAUGUCUAAGUUGUUGCAAGUGAUCCAACUGGUGUCAGCUGGAAAACCAAAGCCUGCAAAAAACUCUUAUGCCCCUUGUCGCUGUUUCUGCAGAUAUCGCCCCACAAGACCAACCAGGCCUUCGGCGCCACCAAGCUGUCUUUGGACAAAGCGGAGAAUGGGUGGCUGGAGGACUUUUAUCCAUGAGGUCUUCCUUGUUGAGCAGGAAGGAGGCCCACUACUUCUUUUUUACUUCUAUUCCCAGCUCCUGUAAAAAUUUAAUCUGGAAUGGGCACCUUCACUGAUUUAGGACAUUCCUGUGCAUGUUUCUGCUGUGUACGUUUCCGAUGUGUGUGUUUGUUUUGUGUUUGUAACUCUUUGCCUAUGCUUUUCCCACUCCGAACAGGUGAAGAACACCUACAGACCGAUACAAAGUGGCACAAUUCACAUGCCAUGACACCUCCACAGCUGGCAGGUUCUAUGUGUUGAACCUCAACACAAAGCAAUAAUAAUAAUUCCUUACAUUUAUAUAGCGCUUUUCUGGGCACUCAAAGCACUUUACAUAUUGAAGGGGGAAUCUCCUCAACCACCACCAAUGUGCAGCACCACCUGGAUGAUGUGACAGCAGCCAUAUUGCGCCAGAACGCCCACCACACACACUAUACUGGGGUGUUAGGACCCACACAGACCACAGGGUGAGCGCCCUCUGCUGGCCUCACUAACGCCUCUUCCAGCAGCUACCUAGUUUUCCCAGGAGGUCUCCCAUCCAGGUACUAACCAGGCUCAGCCCUGCUUAGCUUCAGUGGGCAACCAGUCUUGGGCUACAGGGUGAUAUGGCUGCUGGCGGCAGAACGUCGUCUCAUGGAUUGGUUUAACUGUUUUUGACAAGUACAGGCAUUAAGUCUUUUCCUUUCUCAUUCUUCCCAGGAGGGACCAAGAGGAGGCUCUUCAAUGCGAAAAGGAAGACACCAGCCAGGGUAAAACUCAUGCCAGUGGUGCAGCUCUCCCGCUGAAAUCACCCCAAAAAUAUCAGCUGUACCAAAAGAUGAUGUACAGGAGACACAGAGGUGAACGUAGAUGGGAGUUUAUUUACAAACAGCAGGGAAACAGUGAUGCAGGAAUGGAGAUUGUGGAUGGAUGGACGAACGUCAACGGAGUGCACACAUGUAGGAGGUAGGUAGACACACACAGACGAAGAAGCAUGGAGACUGAGGAAACAUGCUGGAGUGAAACAGGGAAGUAGAUCGGCAGACUUGGAGAUAAACAUGAAGAAGUCCUUUACGUAGGAACGCAUAAACCAGACCGGACAACUGAGUGAGGUGAGUGAUGUGCUUAAAUAGUCUGGUGAUGGUGUGCUGAUGAGAAGCAGGUGUGUGUGAUUGUCAGAUCAGGAGCGGUGAUGAGGAAGUGUGUGCAGGUGUGGGCCAGGGAGGAUGAUGGGAAAUGGAGUCUUUGGAAGCCAAGACAGACUCUCAAUGAGUCCUGCGGUAAAAGUAAAGACAUGAGUGACAGGUGCACUAACACCUCACAGCACCAGUAACUCCACAACCCUACCUAGAGCGGUUUUCCUCAGUGUUUGCAAUGUCUGCACAGAGAAGACGUCGGGCAGCUGCUCGAAGAUCUCGCCUUUGAAGAACUGACCACCGUGAACACCUUCACCUGUGUUUGUCAUCCAUCAUGUCCCUCACUGCUGCUCUUCUCAGUGGGGACAUUGUUGAUCCAGAGGAUGAGGAAGACCUUGAUGACGGACCCCUGAACCCCACAACCUUGACAAUCUGGC